rnacentral:misc_RNA from 1 species
GAUGAAGAACGUAGCGAAAUGCGAUAAGUAAUGUGAAUUGCAGAAUUCAGUGAAUCAUCGAAUCUUUGAACGCACAUUGCGCCCCCUGGUAUUCCGGGGGGCAUGCCUGUCCGAGCGUCAUUACAACCCUCAAGCUCAGCUUGGUAUUGGGCCCCGCCGACCCGGCGGGCCCUAAAGUCAGUGGCGGUGCCGUCCGGCUCCGAGCGUAGUAAUUCUUCUCGCUCUGGAGGUCCGGUCGUGUGCUCGCCAGCAACCCCCAAUUUUUUUCAGGUUGACCUCGGAUCAGGUAGGGAUACCCGCUGAACUUAAGCAUAUCAAUGCGGAGGA